rnacentral:miRNA from 1 species
UAAGGGCUAGCUAUAUAGAUU